CAGACCUUCCAUUCUACCAAGUGUAUUGGCUUCCUAUGAAACCCAAAUCAUUUAAAUUACAUAUUUGAAUGGAAUGCACAAAAUCAGCCACUUCAUUGUUCUUUACUGGUAUGCCUCCUAGCUUCUCUUCCCCUGAAGUUAUUACAUUAAAAUCACCUAUCACCAGCCAUGGUAGAUUAAAAUCAGUGGAAAGAUCUUCUAAGGACUCUCACAACUCCAAUCUUUCCCUUUGAUCACAUCUAGCAUAUACUACAGUCACUAGAAUAUCAGUAACCAAUUCUUGGUUAUACACCUGAACUGUUACUUGUUGAAUUUCAUCCUUCACCACAGUGACUUGCAUUAUUUCAUCAAAAAAGACCCAAAUUUUUCCUGUAGUGUUAGAAAUAGCUGUAUGCAUCCCUAACUAUCUUUUAUAAUGUUCAAUAUUGUCAAAAGUUUCAAAAGGUUCCAACAAACCAAUCAUGUAGAAUUGUUGACUUCUAUGCAUUGUUUGUAAUCUUUGAAAAGCCUGUUGUGUAUUUACAGACCUAAUAUUCCAAAGCAAGGCUUGCUUCAUGGUAAACUAAAUGUUUUGGUUGCUGUUCUCCUUAUCUGUACUCCCCUUGUAGGUAGUACUGAUUGUUCUUUGUUGUCUUUUGAUUGUUUCCACUUUUGCUUUCCAAGUGACUUCAAUCUAUCAAUUUGCUUUGGCGAUAAAUCCCCAGUAUUAGCUGCAUUCUAAAUAUUAAUAUUGAUAUCCUCUUCAUCUAUAUCUUCAUCUUUAUAUCCAAAGAUCUUGUAACUGUUGUUGUGCUGUAUUUUCAGUCCCCUAUUUCUUUGUUAAAGAUGCUUUUUUUGAAUUGGUUUCUGCUGUUUUUGUUGGUGUAGUUUUCAAUGGACUGGUUACUGUUGGCUUUAAGGGUGAAGUUUUUUGUGAAUUAAUUUUUGUCACAUUGUGUUUGUCUUGAUCUUUUGUACCCUCUGUAGCAGUUUCUGUGUUGUUUGUCACCUGCUCUACUUGUUGUUCCUUUCCGUUUGUUUGUCUCUUCACUGUAAUCCUCUUGUGUUCCAUCCCCUACAUUAGUGCUAGCAUUAUCUGCUAUUUCAUUAUUACUUUUUACUGCACUUUUGUUUGUAGAUGCUGAAUAAUCAAUUUUGUCUUCACCAUCUGAUGAGAUUUCCACCUUAUCUCCUUGCUUUUCUUUGUUGUUUUCCUUUUCCUUCUCAUUAGGGAAAACCCUUGUAACCCAUUCCUUUGCUGUUUCUUGUACUUUUUGAGCCUUAUCUUCUUGUGUUUUAUUAUCAGUUUUCUGUAUUUCCUGAUUGUCCUUGUUUGGUUGUGACUUAUAAUCAACCUUUGCUACAACUUGACUUGAUUCCUCUUUCUUUUGCAGGUCUUCUUCCUGCUUUUGAUCAUUCAAAGCAUCAUAUGAAUUUUUUGUGGUUACUACUACUUUAGCUCUGGAUUCAAUGCUCUACAUUCAAUCUCUCCAUGUCCCUGUAGUUUGCGGUGCCUACAAUACUUGGGGAGGUAGUCGUAUUGAAUUUUAAUCCACUUGGAUUUGAUUUCUCCAGUAAUAUCAUCCUCUUCUACAAUUUUAAUCGUUUUUGGAUGGUUGGCUAAUAGAUCAAUUUCAAUUUUUACCUUGGCGCAACUUGGUCUUGUUUUGUUUUUUGUAGCCAUAUCAACUGUUAGAGGUCUUCCCACUGCAGAGGCUAAGGAAAAUAUUGCUUCGUUUGCAAAAAAAAUCCGAGGGAGAUCUGGAAAACUGAUCCAUGCAACCGCAACUGAAGUUUCUUCAUCUGGAUAAACCAAGGAUUCCAUAUCAAAGGCAUCAUCUGACAAUACAUAUUGUGAACCUUUAGAUAGUAUGUAGGGGUCGAUAUCAUCCUUAUAUAGUCUUCCAAUAAUGUAAGGCGUAUUAGCAUAUGUCUAUUGUCCAUCAGGCCAAUUUCACAUGGACCUUUAAUUUCACAUUGUAUUGGAAUGACUUUACUUAAUCCUCGCACGUCAGGUUUAUCAUAAGAAAACUUCCCAAGUAUCGCAUGUUGAAGAUUUUCUUGUAUGAUAAGUUUUUUGAUUUCAGAU